UACGUAGGGUGCGAGCGUUGUCCGGAUUUAUUGGGCGUAAAGAGCUCGUAGGCGGUUUGUCGCGUCGGCCGUGAAAUCUCCACGCUUAACGUGGAGCGUGCGGUCGAUACGGGGCAGACUUGAGUUCGGUAGGGGGAGACUGGAAUUCCUGGUGUAGCGGUGAAAUGCGCAGAUAUCAGGAGGAACACCGGUGGCGAAGGCGGGGUCUCUGGGGCCGAUACUGACGUGAGGAGCGAAAAGCGUGGGGGAGCAAACAGG
rnacentral:rRNA from 1 species